AAUGCUGUACGUUGAACUAUUCGGAUCAAAGCGAACAGCGCCCUUUUGAAUUCUGACACUUGUAUUGAUCCGGUGAGUCGUUAAUUUUCGUUGCUCCGAGCAUUGUGAACAAAUCUGUGGAUAUCACCGGUGCAGAUGAAUUUGGCAGGAUCUGGAGGGGUAAUUUUCACCUGGGACCACUGGGUAGGAACACGACGCCACUUAUAAUACGAUUACGGCGACCAACCAGAAGUCUACAGAAGCGGUUAUUUUGGGUACGUGCAGUUGUUUCUGGACUCAUGUUACGAAUAUGGUAGAAAGGACGGCUGCCGGUAGUUCCACCCUAGGUCGACUUGGUUUGACCCGACUGCGUGUAAAUUGGCGUGUGUUUUCUCGUGUAUGUCCAGAGCUUGAAAGUAUUCGCACGUUGCAUAUGCAGAGGACGAUCCAUCGAAAAACAUAUGUAACUGGAGAGACUACUUUGCUCAAGUCGAAUCCAAGCCAGCGAGCGUAUCUGGUAAUGAAUCAUCCCAGUCCAGUGCUCGGUAACUGCCAUCGGCUUGCUGAACGUGGAAGUUCUAUAUAUCUUUUAGGAGGAUCUCUGACAUGACAAUCAUGGGAUAACAGUUUGGAAUGGGUAGUAUUAAUCUUAAACUUGAUUUGGAAGCCAUAUUAGUCAUGAUUUGUGUGUUGGCCCGACCAAGGAGAAGACAGAGUUUCAGAUUAAAGUCGCUUUAUUGUAGUA
rnacentral:sRNA from 1 species